rnacentral:rRNA from 1 species
UACGAAGGGGGCUAGCGUUGCUCGGAAUCACUGGGCGUAAAGGGUGCGUAGGCGGGUCUUUAAGUCAGGGGUGAAAUCCUGGAGCUCAACUCCAGAACUGCCUUUGAUACUGAAGAUCUUGAGUUCGGGAGAGGUGAGUGGAACUGCGAGUGUAGAGGUGAAAUUCGUAGAUAUUCGCAAGAACACCAGUGGCGAAGGCGGUCUGCUGGGGUAAUGCUGACACUGAUGCGCGACAGCGUGGGGAGCAAACAGG